GAUGAACGCUAGCUGCAGGCCUAACACAUGCAAGUCGAGGGGAAACGCUGAGAGAGCUUGCUCUUUCAGGCGUCGACUGGCGCACGGGUGAGUAACGCGUAUCCAACCUACCCAUUACAGGGGGAUAACCUUGCGAACUUAUGAUAAAUACCCCAUGGCCUUUUAGGGUGGCACCAUUGUAGGAUUAAAGUUUUAUUGGUAAUGGAGGGGGAUGCGUCUGAUUAGCUUGGUGGCGGAGUAACGGCCCAACAAGGCAACGAACAGGAGGUGUUCGGAGAGGAAGGUACCCCGGAUGGGAACUACGACACAGACCACACUCCUACGGGAGGGAGCAGUAUGGAAUAUUAGGCAAUGGAGGAGGGCUUGACCCAGCCAAGUAGCGUGCAAAGGGACGGCGCUAGGAGUUGUAAACUGCUUUUAUAGAGGAAUAAAGUGAGCUACGUGUACUUUAUUGCAGGUACCCAAUGAAUAAGCACCGGCUAACUCCGUG
rnacentral:rRNA from 1 species